rnacentral:rRNA from 1 species
CAGCCGCCACGGUAAUACGAGGGGGGCAAGCGUUGUUCGGAAUUAUUGGGCGUAAAGGGCGCGUAGGCGGUUUGGCAAGUUUGGUGCGAAAUCUUCGGGCUCAACUCGAAGUCUGCAUCGAAAACUGCCGGGCUUGAGUAUGGGAGAGGUGAGUGGAAUUUCCGGUGUAGCGGUGAAAUGCGUAGAUAUCGGAAGGAACACCUGUGGCGAAAGCGGCUCACUGGACCAUUACUGACGCUGAGGCGCGAAAGCUAGGGGAACAAACAGGAUUAGAUACCCCCGUAGUCCCUGUCUCUUAUAC